rnacentral:rRNA from 1 species
UACGUAGGGGGCAAGCGUUGUCCGGAUUUAUUGGGCGUAAAGAGCGUGUAGGUGGCCUGAAAGGUCCGCUGUGAAAACUCGAGGCUCAACCUCGAGAUGUCGGUGGAAACCAUCUGGCUAGAGUCCGGAAGAGGAGAGUGGAAUUCCUGGUGUAGCGGUGAAAUGCGCAGAUAUCAGGAAGAACACCAAUGGCGAAGGCAGCUCUCUGGGACGGUACUGACACUGAGACGCGAAAGCGUGGGGAGCGAACAGG